rnacentral:rRNA from 1 species
CCGAGUGCUUGCACUCAAUUGGAAAGAGGAGUGGCGGACGGGUGAGUAACACGUGGGUAACCUACCCAUCAGAGGGGGAUAACACUUGGAAACAGGUGCUAAUACCGCAUAACAGUUUAUGCCGCAUGGCAUAAGAGUGAAAGGCGCUUUCGGGUGUCGCUGAUGGAUGGACCCGCGGUGCAUUAGCUAGUUGGUGAGGUAACGGCUCACCAAGGCCACGAUGCAUAGCCGACCUGAGAGGGUGAUCGGCCACACUGGGACUGAGACACGGCCCAGACUCCUACGGGAGGCAGCAGUAGGGAAUCUUCGGCAAUGGACGAAAGUCUGACCGAGCAACGCCGCGUGAGUGAAGAAGGUUUUCGGAUCGUAAAACUCUGUUGUUAGAGAAGAACAAGGACGUUUGUAACUGAACGUCCCCUGACGGUAUCUAACCAGAAAGCCACGGCUAACUACGUGCCAGCAGCCGCGGUAAUACGUAGGUGGCAAGCGUUGUCCGGAUUUAUUGGGCGUAAAGCGAGCGCAGGCGGUUUCUUAAGUCUGAUGU